GAUGAACGCUGGCGGCGUGCCUAAUACAUGCAAGUCGAGCGAACAGAUGAGGAGCUUGCUCCUCUGACGUUAGCGGCGGACGGGUGAGUAAAACGUGGAUAACCUACCUAUAAGACUGGGAUAACUUCGGGAAACCGGAGCUAAUACCGGAUAAUAUAUUGAACCGCAUGGUUCAAUAGUGAAAGACGGUUUUGCUGUCACUUAUAGAUGGAUCCGCGCCGCAUUAGCUAGUUGGUAAGGUAACGGCUUACCAAGGCAACGAUGCGUAGCCGACCUGAGAGGGUGAUCGGCCACACUGGAACUGAGACACGGUCCAGACUCCUACGGGAGGCAGCAGUAGGGAAUCUUCCGCAAUGGGCGAAAGUCUGACGGAGCAACGCCGCGUGAGUGAUGAAGGUCUUCGGAUCGUAAAACUCUGUUAUUAGGGAAGAACAAAUGUGUAAGUAACUAUGCACGUCUUGACGGUACCUAAUCAGAAAGCCACGGCUAACUACGUG
rnacentral:rRNA from 1 species